UCUCUCCUCCCUCCACCCAUUUUGUUCCGGUUUGCCCCGCCUCUCUGGCGGUCUGGGACUACUCGUAUUGGUCAGCAUAAGAAAUAAGACUUCCUGCUGAGUCCAUUUUCUUAUCCUAUAAACACUGUUUUAUAUCAUCCUUGGACAUAUUCAGAAAUUGCUCCUGUAUCAUCAAAUCCUGCAUUCCUCCAAAGUUAGUUACAGCCCGUCCGUUGAGCCAUUUAUCAAACAGAUCUGUCAUCUGGUUUACAUAAGCCACAUUACUUAGUCCAGGCCCUCUCUUAAGGGUUCGAAAUUAUAGCUGUUGCCUCUGCUUCUGCUCCCUUCUGGCUCUUCUUCACAAGUUGCAGCAACAGAUGCUUCUGCUUCCAAGAGUUAUUUACAGGUUAAAGCAAGCAAUCAUAUAUGCACAAAUGAGUUACCAUCUAUGAUUCCUAAAAAUGGUGAAGAUGUACUAAUCUGUCCAUUCAAAAUGUCUUUCAGGGCAGACCCAGGUUGACCUUGGCGAUCUCUGCUUUGGUUUAGUGUCUCUGGUGCUGUGAGAGUUCAAAUAGCAAAGAGAGAACCAUUUCUUCUUGCAUGUAGUGAGGCGGUUACCCGGAGGAGUUGCCGAGCCUGCCCUGUGCCAGCUUUCUGGAGGAGGGAUGGCGCCUGCCCUGCACCAGCAAUCCCGAGGAACCCAUGGUGUUGGACCCCCCUGAGGACACCACUCUGACCCAGGCUGCGGAGGAAGACUCCUGUGGCCGGACUAAUUCUCUGCUAGACCUCUUCCUGAACUUAGUGAGAUGGUUGGGGUCCCCACCACCUCAGAGAGAGGUGAGCCCCGGCUUACCUCUCUACACGGCAGCACAUUGCAAACACGACUGAAAUGACUGAAAUUGGAGAACAAAAAAUUGCAUUUCCCCACAGCCAAUAAUUACUCUCUGGAAUUCCUGGUCUAGGGCUUUACAGUACCAUGCAGCUCAGCUGAAAUACUACUCUGAGUUCGUCUCAGAAGAGCUGACAUUGAAAACACAUUUUAAUAGAAAUUUCAGUGCUUCUAAACAAUGCUCAGCUGAAUGAGAAAGUUCAGUUCGUUGCCAAGAAUGCCACAGCACUGAUGGACUUAAUCACUUGGUUCAAAUCUCGACAUGUCACAAUCCACAGAAAGUACAACAAAGGAAUGGAUGUACGGUUCUGGGCUGAAGUGCAGCCAAAUGAAAAUCAUUCAGACAAUGCUGAGUUGAAUGCCAGUGCUCAGCAGAUGUUUUCUUGCAUGGCAAAGAAGCUCAGACAAUACUACUGCUACGGGGAAGAGUCAAGCGAUGCAGCAAAAAUGGCUCAAAAGUUUCAACAACCGUAGCAGGGUUCCUAAAAGCUGUGCAUAUUUUUGACUCUGCACAAAUGCACCUGUUGAUGGAUUUAACCUUGCUUAAUACAAUUCCUGGCUUUGACUAGUAUUGUAGGCUGGAGAUUCCUGCUUACAAAAAUAUUGCGAAAGAAGUGGAUUGUAGUUUGCCUGUGCUACAGUUUGGAACUCAGUGGAAGGCAGAAUCCCCCACCUCGCAAGGCUAGCUUGGCACUGUCUGACAAUUCCAGUGAACUCUGUGGAUGCAGAGAGAGCCGCGUCUAAACAUGGACAGGUGUUUCAGCACAGUGACAGGGAAUGAAGAAAGACACAGUUGCUGAAUGCUCCAUGGUGACAUUCAAUUGAUGACAUUAGAAACCAGAACUUCUUUUUUUUUUUCCAUUUGCUUUUGUUAACUUAAGACAGUGGCUCUCAAGUUUGAGGCUGCCAAUUGAGAUCGCUACCCUACAAAACUGUCCCAGAUGCCCAUAUCUACCAACCAGGCAGUUGAGCCAUGAGUGUUAUUUGCUGUUGUAAAUUAUCAGUGAAUAAAUCCUGUUAAGUUCACAUGACCUUUCUUUAUUUUAAUUGAAACAAGCUACUAAUUGCAUUUGGAAGGGGGGGGUGAGGGGUUGGGUCACAGAAACCCCUUUGGGACUGCCACCUGAUGUGCUGGGACUACCUCUGAGCCCGUUUACCUGGCAGCUUGGGACUUCAGUGCCCUGCCUGGUUGUGCCAGAGAUGCUAGCCAGGUCUGAAUUAUAUCCCCCACAAGCUGCAGGCUUAACUGAAAACAGCUUGAGAAGUGCUUCUGUCUUCAGCACUCAGAUAUCCAGCUCUCAAUGGGGUCCAAACCCCAAAUAAAUCUGUUUUACUCAUAAUUUUUUUGCCCUCUGUAACACUCAGAGAGAUAUGCACAGCUGUUUGCCCCCCCCCUCCCAGGUAGUAAUACCUCUUCUGGGUUAAUUAAUAAGUAAAAAGUGAUUUUAUUAAAUACAAAAAGUAGGAU